GUUGUUCGGAAUUAUUGGGCGUAAAGGGCGCGUAGGCGGUGCGGUAAGUCACCUGUGAAAUCUCCUGGCUCAACUGGGAGCUUGCAGGCGAAACUGCCGUGCUGGAGUGUGGGAGAGGUGCGUGGAAUUCCUGGUGUAGCGGUGAAAUGCGUAGAUAUCAGGAGGAACACCUGUGGCGAAAGCGGCGCACUGGACCACAACUGACGCUGAGACGCGAAAGCUAGGGGAGCAAACAGG
rnacentral:rRNA from 1 species